rnacentral:rRNA from 1 species
UACAGAGGGUGCGAACGUUGUUCGGAAUUACUGGGCGUAAAGGGCGCGUAGGCGGUCCUGUAAGUCUUGUGUGAAAUCCCUCGGCUUAACUGAGGAACUGCACGAGAUACUGCGAGACUUGAGUUCGGGAGAGGGAAGCGGAAUUCCGGGUGUAGCGGUGAAAUGCGUAGAUAUCCGGAGGAACACCGGUGGCGAAGGCGGCUUCCUGGACCGACACUGACGCUGAGGCGCGAAAGCUAGGGGAGCAAACGGG